rnacentral:rRNA from 1 species
UACGUAGGGGGCAAGCGUUGUCCGGAAUUAUUGGGCGUAAAGCGCGCGCAGGCGGUCCUUUAAGUCUGAUGUGAAAUCCCGUGGCUCAACCACGUGCGGUCAUUGGAAACUGGAGGACUUGAGUGCAGAAGAGGAAAGUGGAAUUCCAAGUGUAGCGGUGAAAUGCGUAGAGAUGUGGAGGAACACCAGUGGCGAAGGCGACUUUCUGGUCUGUAACUGACGCUGAGGCGCGAAAGCGUGGGGAGCAAACAGG